GACGAACGCUGGCGGCGUGCCUAAUACAUGCAAGUAGAACGCUGAAGGAGGAGCUUGCUUCUCUGGAUGAGUUGCGAACGGGAGAGUAACGCGUAGGUAACCUGCCUGGUAGCGGGGGAUAACUAUUGGAAACGAUAGCUAAUACCGCAUAAGAGUAGAUGUUGCAUGACAUUUGCUUAAAAGGUGCAAUUGCAUCACUACCAGAUGGACCUGCGUUGUAUUAGCUAGUUGGUGAGGUAACGGCUCACCAAGGCGACGAUACAUAGCCGACCUGAGAGGGGGGUCGGCCACACUGGGACUGAGACAAGGCCCAGGCUCCUACGGGGGGCAGCAGUAGGGAAUCUUCGGACAUGGACGGAAGUCUGACCGAGCAACGCCGCGGGAGUGAAGAAGGUUUUCGGAUCGUAAAGCUCUGUUGUAAGAGAAGAACGAGUGUGAGAGUGGAAAGUUCACACUGUGACGGUAUCUUACCAGAAAGGGACGGCUAACUACGUG
rnacentral:rRNA from 1 species